CCCAGACUCCUACGGGAGGCAGCAGUGAGGAAUAUUGGUCAAUGGUCGGGAGACUGAACCAGCCAAGCCGCGUGAGGGAGGAAGGUACAGAGUAUCGUAAACCUCUUUUGUCAGGGGACAAAGACUGGGACGCGUCCCCGGAUGAGUGUACCUGAAGAAAAAGCAUCGGCUAACUCCGUGCCAGCAGCCGCGGUAAUACGGAGGAUGCGAGCGUUAUCCGGAUUUAUUGGGUUUAAAGGGUGCGUAGGCGGGCAUUUAAGCCGGCGGUCAAAUGUCGGGGCUCAACCCCGGCCUGCCGUCGGAACUGGGUGCCUUGAGUGGGCGAGAAGUAUGCGGAAUGCGUGGUGUAGCGGUGAAAUGCAUAGAUAUCACGCAGAACUCCGAUUGCGAAGGCAGCGUACCGGCGCCCAACUGACGCUCAUGCACGAAAGCGUGGGUAUCGAACAGGAUUAGAUACCCCCGUAC
rnacentral:rRNA from 1 species